UACAGAGGGCCCAAGCGUUGUUCGGAUUCACUGGGCGUAAAGGGUGCGUAGGCGGUCGGGUAAGUCUGAUGUGAAAUCUCACAGCUUAACUGUGAAACUGCAUUGGAUACUAUUCGGCUUGAGAGUUGGAGGGGGGACUGGAAUUCUUGGUGUAGCAGUGAAAUGCGUAGAUAUCAAGAGGAACACCAGUGGCGAAGGCGAGUCCCUGGACAACUCCUGACACUGAGGCACGAAAGCUAGGGGAGCAAACAGG
rnacentral:rRNA from 1 species